GCUCCGGUGGUUUAGUGGUUAGAGCGUCCGCCUCAGACGUGGGAGGUCGGGGUUCGAUCCCAGGUUGAGUCA